AAACUAGGCCCACACCACUGCACUGUAGCCUGGGUGACAGAAGGAGACCUUGUCUCUUAAAAACAAACAAACCAAAAAAAAAAAAAAAAAAAAAAACCUCUUUAUAUACAGACAUUGAAAUUUCAGUUUCAAAUAUUUUUCAUGUGUCAUGAUAUAUUAUUCUCCUGUUUAGUUUUGUUCAACCAGUUAAAAAUGUGAAAAACUAGUCUUAAAUCAUGGACCAUCUAAAAACAGGUGACCAGUAGAUUUGGCCCGUGGGGUGUAGUUUCUCACAUAAUUCCUGAUGGAAGUCACUUGAACUAUGCACUUGGUGUGCUUUAUACUUUCUAUCUACUGACCUGCACCGCAUUUUAAUUUUUUUUUUUUUUUUUUUUUUUUUUUGAGACGGAGUUUCGCUCUUGUUACCCAGGCUGGAGUGCGGUGGCACAGUCACGGCAUACUGCAGCCUCACACUCCUGGACUCAAGCAAUCCUCUCACCUCAGCCUACUGAGUAGAUUUUUUUCAAAAGAAAAAGAGGCCAUGUUAGAACAUGUGGCUAUUAAGUCCUGCCCACCAAUUAAGACAAUGCUGUACUGGGACAGUCUCCUUAGGUAAGAUUUAGGGCAUAGAAGUAUAUAGCAUAUCUUUGUUCUCUGAUUUCUGUGAGCAUGCUUGCUUCUUGGAGUUGAGUAUGAACAGUUCUUUUGAAAUUUACUAAUCAGAAAAAUAUUUCCAAAGAGA
rnacentral:lncRNA from 1 species